rnacentral:rRNA from 1 species
GACGAACGCUGGCGGCGUGCUUAACACAUGCAAGUCGAACGGAAAGGCCCUGCUUUUGUGGGGUGCUCGAGUGGCGAACGGGUGAGUAACACGUGAGUAACCUGCCCUUGACUUUGGGAUAACUUCAGGAAACUGGGGCUAAUACCGGAUAGGAGCUCCUGCUGCAUGGUGGGGGUUGGAAAGUUUCGGCGGUUGGGGAUGGACUCGCGGCUUAUCAGCUUGUUGGUGGGGUAGUGGCUUACCAAGGCUUUGACGGGUAGCCGGCACGAGAGGGUGACCGGGGACAAGAGGACUGCGAGAGGGACCAGACGGCUAUCGGAGGCAACAGUGGAGAAUAUUGCAGAGUGGGCCGAAGUCUGAUGUAGCAACGCCGCGUGCGUAAUGCCCGGUUUCGGGUUGAGAACCGCUUUGGCCUGAGCCGUAGCGUGAGUGACGGUAACGGGUAAAGAAGCACCGGCUAACUACGUG